CUUGGACAAAAUUUACCAUAUUUCCUUGUGCAAAUUUCAUCCUCAAAGUUAAGCUGUAGCAGAACCCUUUACAGAGCGAGCCAUGCCAGGUCCCAUCAUCGAAGAAGUUGAGGUCGAGAAGAAGCUUCAGGAUGAGGAGUUCAUAGUGGAAGAUGUGAAAGAGGAAGACGACAACGAUGAUGAUGAUGAUGCGGUUGUUUCGGACGACGAUGAUGACAAGGAAGAGGAUGCCCAAGAUCCAAAUACAUCUUAUAAGACCCGGUAUUAGCACACUGAGUUGCUUUGUUUGGAGACUUCAAGGUACACCUGCCUGCGUUCGCAAGCCUAGGAGUCCCCUUCUACACUGUUCUUCCUUAUUUCCUUACAUUUUUAUAGACAGUGAUGUAUAGGAUUGUUCGAUACUGUAUCUAGAACUUAUGACUUAUAUCUCACUAGGUUUUGGGAUUUGUAUGUAUUGAGUUUUGGUAGAUUUUAUUCAUGAAAUUGUUGGGAUUUUUAAGUUUUAAGCUUUUA